rnacentral:lncRNA from 1 species
GUAAAGCGCCGGAAUUCUCUCUACAGGCCUUUCUGGUUCUGACGCUCUGCGUGUUUCUCCUGCCGCUCUUCUCAUUUCUCGCAGACUCUUUGCACAUGGACUCAGCGGGCAAACUGCGCUUGCAGUGCGAGAGCACGUGGCAGGACUGUCUGGCCGAGGUCGACAAGUUUAAGGUGAGCGACGGAAGAGCGAGGGCCAAAAUGUGAACGACGCAGUAUGUACAGGAUGUUUGUAAUACUUAGGAACAUGUUACGGUGCUUCGUGUUGUCAUGAUUUGCGUUCCGUCUCGUUCUGUUUGCUGUCGAUUUUCUGGAAACGGUCUGUGCUUAGCGGGCCGUGCGGGACGAGGAGCGUGCGCGCCUCAAAGAGUCCCGUCUGUGUCUGUAUAGGAGGAAAGUGCAGCGCUGGGUCUCCCUCCGCCUGACGUUGACGGUGUUGUCAGUAAUGAGCUUCUGCACCUUGUUGGUUUCUACCAGAACCAGUCGGAACGGUGGCUGGAGGCCGUGGAUAGAGCCUUCGAAGCCGUGGCCACGCAGACCGGCCAGUGGAGCAAGUCGCUCGCCAGGUUUGCCAGAGGAGCUACGCACCUGUGGGAGCGUCACUCGGCAGAGCUGCGGAGGAGGGAGCGGCACCUGCUGGUCCAGCUGGAGGAGCUUCAGCAUCUCCACCAACAGGAGAUCCAGGUCAGAAAACAGGCUGUUCUUCCUCCUCAUUCCAUCGAGAACAUCAGCAAAAGGUCUAAAUCAGCGCUUCGGUCUCCGAUCAUCACCAGCGUUUUGUUCGUGCUCCUGAGGAACGGCCGAGCAACUGGUGACGAACCGUGUUUUGACGCGACGCGCUUCCCGAAACGUCAGCGCUCUGUCCGUACCUCAGUCCGCGCCGCACCGCGGUAUCCCUUUUACCGCAGUGGGCAUCGCUUGCGCUCCCUUCCAGGAGAAGGAGGCCCACCUGGAUGUGAUGAUGGACAUGCUGAGACAGGAAAGCUCAGAGGAGACCCUCAGGGCCACUCUGGACAAGGUUCGACGGAGCCUGGGGGAGAUUAAGGAUCGGUAAUCUUGCUCGAUCGACGUUUUUCUCGAGCUUUUCGGUCGUCGGAGACCAUCGCUGUCCUACAGCACUUGUGGUGAAGGACGUCAAGUUCACGAAGGCGUUCACUUGCAGGUGCAUCAGCGGUUACGAGGAGGUGCUGCGAACUGUGGAGAAGUACCCGGUCGGAGUCUUGGAGGAGCUGCACUCCUACAGCGCGGCAGUCAGUCGCUUCUUCGGAGUCAAGGAGGUUUACAGAACGGUACGGGUUCCGGCUCUUUCCGGAACUCUGCUUUGCCGGAACAUUCUGGCAGGAAACACAAUGCUAUAAAAGACACUUUUUUCAAUCUUGGACACUAAGAAAGUCUUAACGAUGUUUUGUAGGGGUCUGAAGACCUUCUCAGAUGUUCCGCUUCCCGUAGUUUUGGUAAGAUUUGCUUUUGUCUUUCUCUGCACUGGAAAAUCAUUGCGAACGAUACAGUGCACUGCUGUCCAACCUUCGCGU